UAAGCGUUGAGGAAGCGUCGACACUGUAAGUAGUGCGUGUAGACACUGACCUAAUAACGCUAGAUUAACUUAAAACUGAGACGUUAUCGUUUUAGUUGGGCAAACAGGGCCGCAAAGAAUUAAGCUUGUCUUUGUACGGUAGUAAGCCGCUCGCACAAA